rnacentral:lncRNA from 1 species
UUUACAGGUCCACAGCUGGAAGGAGCUUUCCUUGAUUCUCAAAUGAGACUUUGGACUUUGGACUUUUGAGUCGGUGCUGAAACAAGCCACGCUCUUCAUGCCUGUGUGUUUCCCGCACCCCUGGGAAGGCGAAGGGAAGGAGCUACAUUGUCAAGUGUGGUCCAGCAAGUAAGCAGGUCCUGAGCACCAAACAUAUCACAGGCACUCACUGCUUGGGCCCACCAGUCAACAGGAGCCUGCUAGAUACAGCCAUGUGCCACUCCAACCUCCCUGAGGGCAUGGCCUAUGCACUAUUUGAUUUUCAGCAUAUCAUCACGAACUCCACGGGCGUCAAGAAGCAAUGGGUGUGGAUGUAGAAGCAGCCCGGAUUGCAACUGUGGUGGUGUAUUCUUGAACUAUAUUGUUCUAUUGGUGGUUUCUAGCUUUCUUGCCUUUCUGACCAUGAUACGAGUAGCUCCCUUGAUGGGUUAGUUCUGAAGGUUCAGAGAGUCUCUCCUCAGGCCUACACAAGCUCACUACUGCUCACUUUAUGUGAUGUGGGCCUACACAAGCUCACUGCUGCUGUCUUUCUAACAUGUCUAUAUGUUCUUCAUUAACUCUAUUAGAUCACUUUCUGCUGAAAGAGAUCAGUGUGCUUUCUGUUUCCUGAACUCAACCUUGGGAAAAAUAAGCAUAAAAUAUGUAUACAACAAGUGAAGAACAUCAAAGCAGCCCUGAGAUGAAUUUUCUAGGUAGACCAUCAACUUCUUUGUCAUCAAAAGCCUCAAUUCAAGAGUGAUUCAAAUUAGUACUUUACUGAAAUUACUGAUCACUAUUUGUCACAUUACUUUAAGGCUGAUUAUGAAUAUUUGAAACUUCAUGUUAAGUGCCUCAAUACCAACAGACUACUGUACUUGUUUAAUUUAAAUUUGAAAGCUAUCAUAAUUUCAAUAAAGGAAACACAGUGUAAACAAUAAGGAGUAAGACAAGCAUAUUCAUAUAAAACAUUUAGUUGCUAUUUUUUACUAUUAAAUUAUAUGACAUAACACACCAGAAGUUGACAGUGAAAAAGUCACUUGGCCUGAAAAUACAUGAGUAUGCCAAGGAAGGAAAUGAUGUGCUAAGUUGCUCUAUUACCAAGGCUUACUGAUUUCUACUCAUUUUAUAUUUUAUCCACUCCCUCUAAUCUUCACCAUGAAAAAAAUAAUAGUAUAUGUUUUUAUAGAAUACAUUUGUAGUUACAGAUUUCGGAAUCAUAUAGAGUAAAAUGUGGAAUAUUUCUAUAAGUCUGGAUAACUCUAAGUCUUGAAAGAAUUCAACUAUGUAAAAAUCAAUGAUUUUAAAACAAACAUUGAAUACACUGAUUGGUAAAAAGCUGUAUAGUUAAAUUUACCUAUCUAAUUUAGGUAGUUGAGUAGCCACAUGUAUAUUUUGCUCUUGUUUACCAUGAAAAUUAGACAUUUCCAUUUUACAUAAAUUGAAAUAUAAGUGCACUUAUGCUAAAGUGUUUUAGAAAGCAAUUUAGAUACUUAAAAGACAACUGUAACAUAUAAAUACUAAAUAAUAUGUUACAAAAACUGUGAGAAUUUAUAAAAUAUUUUGCAUGGCAAUGAGAGAAUUAAAUACUGUUUUAGCAGUUAUAUUUGGUAUUUAUGCUACCUCCAAUUACAAGAAAGA